rnacentral:rRNA from 1 species
CUUGCGGGAUUACGCUGCGCUGUGACGGGUGAGUAACACGUGGGAACGUGCCCUUUGGUUCGGAACAACUCAGGGAAACUUGAGCUAAUACCGGAUGUGCCCUUCGGGGGAAAGAUUUAUCGCCAUUGGAGCGGCCCGCGUCUGAUUAGCUAGUUGGUGAGGUAAAGGCUCACCAAGGCGACGAUCAGUAGCUGGUCUGAGAGGAUGAUCAGCCACAUUGGGACUGAGACACGGCCCAAACUCCUACGGGAGGCAGCAGUGGGGAAUCUUGCGCAAUGGGCGAAAGCCUGACGCAGCCAUGCCGCGUGAAUGAUGAAGGUCUUAGGAUUGUAAAAUUCUUUCACCGGGGACGAUAAUGACGGUACCCGGAGAAGAAGCCCCGGCUAACUUCGUGCCAGCAGCCGCGGUAAUACGAAGGGGGCUAGCGUUGCUCGGAAUUACUGGGCGUAAAGGGAGCGUAGGCGGACUGUUUAGUCAGAGGUGAAAGCCCAGGGCUCAACCUUGGAAUUGCCUUUGAUACUGGCAGUCUUGAGUACGGAAGAGGUAUGUGGAACUCCGAGUGUAGAGGUG